rnacentral:rRNA from 1 species
GAGUUUGAUCCUGGCUCAGGAUGAACGCUGGCGGCGUGCUUAACACAUGCAAGUCGAACGAAGCGCCUUAUUUGAUUUUCUUCGGAACUGAAGAUUUGGUGACUGAGUGGCGGACGGGUGAGUAACGCGUGGGUAACCUGCCCUGUACAGGGGGAUAACAGUCAGAAUGACUGCUAAUACCGCAUAAGACCACAGCACCGCAUGGUGCAGGGGUAAAAAACUCCGGUGGUACAGGAUGGACCCGCGUCUGAUUAGCUGGUUGGUGAGGUAACGGCUCACCAAGGCGACGAUCAGUAGCCGGCUUGAGAGAGUGAACGGCCACAUUGGGACUGAGACACGGCCCAAACUCCUACGGGAGGCAGCAGUGGGGAAUAUUGCACAAUGGGGGAAACCCUGAUGCAGCAACGCCGCGUGAGUGAAGAGUAUUUCGGUAUGCAAAGCUCUAUCAGCAGGGAAGAAAGUGACGGUACCUGACUAAGAAGCCCGGCUAACUACGUGCCAGCCG